GUCGGGCAUGGUGGCAAGUGCCUGUAGUCCCAGCUAUUCAGGAGGCUGAGGUGGGAGGAUCACUUGAGCCCAGGAGUUAUAGGCUGUAAUGUGCUAUGCCAAUCAGUGUCCGCACUAAGUUCGGUAUCAAUAUGGUGACCUCCCAGGAGCAGGGGACCACCAAGUUGCCUAAGGAGAGGUGACCCAGCCCACGUUGGAAACGGAGCAGGUCAAAACUCCCGUGCUAAUCAGUAGUGGGAUUGCGCCUGUGAAUAGCCACUGCACUCCAGCCUGGGCAACAUAGCAAGACCUCAUCUCUA
ensembl:misc_RNA Metazoa_SRP Metazoan signal recognition particle RNA